rnacentral:rRNA from 1 species
UACGUAGGGUGCGAGCGUUGUCCGGAAUUAUUGGGCGUAAAGGGCUCGUAGGCGGUUUGUCGCGUCGGGAGUGAAAUCCACUGGCUUAACUGGUGGCUUGCUUUCGAUACGGGCAGACUGGAGGUAUGCAGGGGAGAACGGAAUUCCUGGUGUAGCGGUGAAAUGCGCAGAUAUCAGGAGGAACACCGGUGGCGAAGGCGGUUCUCUGGGCCUUACCUGACGCUGAGGAGCGAAAGCAUGGGGAGCAAACAGG